rnacentral:lncRNA from 1 species
AUGACCUCAGGGCAAGGCGCAGGGCUCCCUCACCAUCAUCCUCAACAAUCCCCCAGGCUCCACCCCUCGGCCCCUCCACGCCCCGUUGGCACCUGCUUCUUCCUUUGUGCCCCUCAUCCCUCACCCCAUUGCCUUUCCCUCCCCUCUUCCCCACUGACAUCCUCUCUCCUGCUCCCAAGGGCCACGUUCAUGCAUGCUCAGCCCAUCGUAACUCACAAGGAAUUUCCAUCCAGCCUCUCCCUCAAUCUGCACAACCCCUUUAAGACGUGCUCUGGACAGCCUGUUGAACAGACCGGACAACUGAGUCUCUUGCCCCCUUCCCAGAGCAGGAAGUCUGCACUCAGACUCCGCCUGAGACCCUCCCCGCCCCCGUCCCCACCCCCACCUCACUCCAGGGCCCGCCCUGUGCCCCCAGCCAAGCGAGUGGCCUGUCAGGUGGAACAACUCUUCCCAAAGCAAACUUUGCACGAGGCCAGUCGCCCUGGGCUCUUCCUGACAUUUAAUGCCCGCUCCUUCCCCUGCCUCAUUUGCAUGUUCCCAGCCCAGAAGGUGCCCCCUGCCAGAUUCUCCUCUCCCACCUCUUGGCAGCUGGGUGGGGCCUCCAGACUAGGGGAGGGUGGACCUCUUCCUACCUCCAGACCACUGCUCCCAGCCGGGGACACGACUGUAACUCUGCUGGGGCCAGAUGGACAGAGCCCACCCGGGACCGGAGAAAGGGGCCAUGAGGUCUCUGUGGCACCGCCAGAACUGAGGUGCCCUUCCCGCUCCCUCCAGCUCUGGAUCCAGGAGAGAGGCCUCGGGGUAACUGCCCAGGCUACAGUCCCAGCACCUGCGACUGGUGACAGGGGCGGGGCCCAGGUCCCUCUGCUCUUAGGGCAGCAAGCUGGCCUGAGGGCCACUGGGAUCCAGCUCUUCGUGUCUCCAGUUUCCACAACCUCCCCCCACCCCCGCACCCCAGAGUUCCAGGACAGAAGGGCUGAGGACGGUUCGUUCUGGACUUUCUCAUUUUCUGUAAUGUCGGGAUGCCUUCACUUGGUCCUAAAACCCUGUCUCCAAGCGCAAGGUGGGCUCCCUGGCCCAAGGCUUGGGGCUUAA